AGAGGAAAAAGUGGGAAGCUCACCAUUUGGGGGAGAAAAGCACUUGGAUCGCUUGUCGAUGCACUCUCUCUCUUUCUCUCAACUAAGUGAAGAAGAAGAAGAAAAAUGAAGAAAAUGGAAGAGAGAAGAGUGAAAUUUGGCUUUAAUAGCUAAAAAAGGGUGCAUGUGAUCCAUUAUAUCACAUGCAAUGGCCCUUGGCUAUUGAUCAGCCCUAGUGGUUGAGCAACCAUCCCAUCAUGGCGCACAUGCCUUGGGCAAUGUGUCGUGUCCCCCUUAGACACCGUGUAUCAUCUUGGGCAGUGUGUGCCACUGAUUGGGCAGUGUGUUGUUGUUAGUUGGGAGGCGUGCCUUUUUUUUGUACUACCAUCGCGUCACAUUACAUCACUCCUUUUCCAUUAACUUUCUAGCUACUCGCUAGAUUUUGUCACUUAACGCAAAUCUAACGGUCUCCAUUUUCUAUAAAUACGGACCCCUUCCUUCCCAUUUCCUCAUAACUUCCAUUUCAUUCUUCCAUCCUCCAAGAGCUUAGAGAGAGAAGGAGAGGAGAAGAAGAAAAAGGUGUAGAAAACUGGAAGGUUUUGGUAAGAAAUUUAGUAUUUACUUUUAAAUAU
rnacentral:lncRNA from 1 species